rnacentral:lncRNA from 1 species
UUGGAAUGACUGACAAUGUAUUCUUCAGCACGGCCAGGUAAGGUUCCAUGCCACCACUGGACUCUGUACAUGGACUCAUGAUCUGUUUUAAUAAUCUGGGAUUUACCUUAAUUGUUGAGUAUUCUGCUAUGCCUUCAGACUUUUCUCCAGAGUGAAAAAUGAAUUACGAUGAUCCAGACAAGAGCUACUGAUAUGCUGACUCGGCUCCAUAAAAAUCACUCAGUUUAGUAAAACAAUUAUUUC